CACAAUCAUUUUUGAAUCUGAAUUUGUCAUAGCAGAAGCGUGAAGAGGUUAACAUGAGGCAGAGAGGUCUAAGGAGCACCAUAAGGAGCUAACCUGUGCACCACCCACAGAUUCCCUCCUCAGUUUUACAACCAAUAAUUGUAAUUUUCUCUUGUCAUUCCUUGUAUAAAACAAAUAUGCAAUGAAUGAUUGUUGCUGCUUCUCUUGGAUAUUGUGCAAACCAUUGUGUGUGCAAUGAGUUGAACAGAGAGAGAGGGAGUCUUUCUACAGACACAUCUGAAUCUGCAAUAAAGUCCCAACGGACAGGAUUAGUUUGGUCAUCUAUUCUCAUGUAAACAAACUUGCAGAUUUCCAGCUCAACAGAUCAUUUAAAUGUUUUUUUUUUCUUAGUGCAGCUCUCUGUGACUCUGCUCUGUGUGCUUUAGAUGUUUCACCUGACUGGAAUAUGAUCAAAACUAAAAACUAGUUCCAGUGUUGACAGUUUUCUCUAUCUUUUAGGAUUGUGCUUUUUUUUUUUUACUGCCUGAAUGAUUUAGUUUUUUUCCGUUUUAUUCCUUUUCUGCCAUGUUCUCAAAGUACUGACUGCUCACUCCUUUCAAACCUCAGAACCUGAUUGAUGAUGAGCGACACCUACUGCACACCUCCACAAGAAGCUCCAGCGCCAUUUGAUCUGCAGGAAGACGAGCAGAGACAAGAGCAGGAGCCAGCGGCAUGCCAGAUCUGAAGGUUCCCUUCGAAGGGGCCUCCGCCUCUGGGACGGAGGGUACAGGACCCCACGGGAACGGCGAGAUCGAGUUGAAGACGGACGAGGGGCAGAAAGAGUACCGAAUGCUUCCAGAGGCCCCAGGCCCACAGGGACCAGCUCACAGCGGGAAGAGGAGGAAUGCAUGCUUGGACUGUUCUGAUUCUCAGUCACCAGCCUCCUAUUUGUUGCAGCUUCUUUUCUGAUGCUGUCGAUGCUGUCACCUGAAGCACAGCAUGUUUAUCUUUUCCUCAAGUCACUUUUGCAUCUGAUCUGCAUCUGAUCUGCAGCUGUUUGUUUUCUAUUUCCCUCUCUCUGUCUUGACCCUGUCAGAAAAUAUUAAUCUAAACUCUUUGUUGCUUCAGUUUUGGUGAGACCUCAGGUAUGUCCCUAUCUGUUAGCUUGAGCCGGUUCAGUAUCAUACAUACCUAGAUACAUACAUACAUAGAUACCUAAAUUUAACUUUUCAAACAGCAUAACCAACUAUUUCCUCUUUCCUAUAUCUUUCCAUCACCAGUCUAGUUCUACUUUUGGCUCCCUUUCUGUUUAAAUACAGACAGAGAAGGUGUUGUCACCUUGCCUCUGGCCUCUUUGACCCGCCCACCCAUGGAAACGUUAUUAGUGGUAGCUAAAAUUAUUUUUAGAUGCAUGCAGAUUCCCUCUAGCCCCAAGGAAAUACCUCCUCCACUUGUGUUUACAACUAGAUUUCCUGCUUCAGGGUAAAUCCCUGCAGAAGCUGCACCACAAGGUGAGGGAAAAGACUCCUGUCACAGGUCAUAAUUGUCUAUCAUCAUCAUACGUUCAUGCAGAAAGGAUUAGAUCACAUUGAGACAUAUAAGAAUGUUUAAAAUGGAUCUUCAUAAACCAGGGUCAAAUCAGACCAUCAGGGUAAAAAACUGUCACGGGAAACAGCCCUAGUAGGGCGGUAGAAGCUUUUUUAGGGACCCUGAUCCGUUGGAGGAGUUUUCCCAGUCAGCUGUUUCAUUCAUCUGCAAGUUUAUCCUUUUCAUAUUUUCUGUCAACUUGACAUAAACAGGAGCAAUCUGCAUUUGCAAACAAAACAUUUGAACCCAGCAACUCGUGUAAAUAUCUACAGUGCUUACAUUUAAAUGCAUUAAUAAAAUCAUCAGACCUUAA